rnacentral:sRNA from 1 species
CCAAUUUGCAUUUCUUGAAAAAAUAUAUUCAUUUCGGUGAAAUCUAAUUGUUGAGUUCGCGCUUCACAAGACUAGAUUUCAUCCCUCAAGGAUUUUUCCAAGUUGCAUUUCUUGGAAAAAUAUAUUCAUUUCGGUGAAAUCUAAGUGUUGAGUUCGCGCUUCACAAGGCUAGAUUUCAUUCCUCAAGGAUUUUUCCAAGUUCCACAUCUUGGAAAAAUAUAUUCAUUUUUGGUGAAAUCUAAGUGUUGAGUUUGCUCUUCACAGAACUAGAUUGUAUCUCUCAAGGAUUUU